rnacentral:rRNA from 1 species
UACGAAGGGGGCUAGCGUUGUUCGGAAUUACUGGGCGUAAAGCGCACGUAGGCGGAUUUUUAAGUCAGGGGUGAAAUCCCGAGGCUCAACCUCGGAACUGCCUUUGAUACUGGAGAUCUUGAGUUCGGAAGAGGUUGGUGGAACAGCUAGUGUAGAGGUGAAAUUCGUAGAUAUUAGCUAGAACACCAGUGGCGAAGGCGGCCAACUGGUCCGACACUGACGCUGAGGUGCGAAAGCGUGGGGAGCAAACAGG